rnacentral:snRNA from 1 species
GUACUUGCUUCGGCAGUACAUAUACUAAAAUUGGAACGACACAGAGAAGAUUAGGAUAAGGAUUACCCUUCCUAAUUAUUUGGAUGGAAAUUGUUC